rnacentral:rRNA from 1 species
CCUACGGGAGGCUGCAGUGGGGAAUAUUGGACAAUGGGCGAAAGCCUGAUCCAGCCAUGCCGCGUGUGUGAAGAAGGCCUUCGGGUUGUAAAGCACUUUCAGUGGGGAAGAAAGCCUUGGGGCUAAUACCCUCGAGGAAGGACAUCACCCACAGAAGAAGCACCGGCUAACUCCGUGCCAGCAGCCGCGGUAAUACGGAGGGUGCGAGCGUUAAUCGGAAUUACUGGGCGUAAAGCGCGCGUAGGCGGUCUGAUAAGCCGGUUGUGAAAGCCCCGGGCUCAACCUGGGAACGGCAUCCGGAACUGUCAGGCUAGAGUGCAGGAGAGGAAGGUAGAAUUCCCGGUGUAGCGGUGAAAUGCGUAGAGAUCGGGAGGAAUACCAGUGGCGAAGGCGGCCUUCUGGACUGACACUGACACUGAGGUGCGAAAGCGUGGGUAGCAAACAGGAUUAGAUACCCGAGUAGUC